AGAGUUUGAUCCUGGCUCAGGACGAACGCUGGCGGCGUGCCUAAUACAUGCAAGUCGAACGCUUCUUUUCCCACCGGAGCUUGCUCCACCGGGAAAAGAGGAGUGGCGAACGGGUGAGUAACACGUGGGUAACCUGCCCAUCAGAAGGGGAUAACACUUGGAAACAGGUGCUAAUACCGUAUAACAAUCGAAACCGCAUGGUUUCGUUUUGAAAGGCGCUUUACGGUGCCGCUGAUGGAUGGACCCGCGGUGCAUUAGCUAGUUGGUGAGGUAACGGCUCACCAAGGCCACGAUGCAUAGCCGACCUGAGAGGGUGAUCGGCCACAUUGGGACUGAGACACGGCCCAAACUCCUACGGGAGGCAGCAGUAGGGAAUCUUCGGCAAUGGACGAAAGUCUGACCGAGCAACGCCGCGUGAGUGAAGAAGGUUUUCGGAUCGUAAAACUCUGUUGUUAGAGAAGAACAAGGGUGAGAGUAACUGUUCACCCCUUGACGGUAUCUAACCAGAAAGCCACGGCUAACUACGUGCCAGCAGCCGCGGUAAUACGUAGGUGGCAAGCGUUGUCCGGAUUUAUUGGGCGUAAAGCGAGCGCAGGCGGUUUCUUAAGUCUGAUGUGAAAGCCCCCGGCUCAACCGGGGAGGGUCAUUGGAAACUGGGAGACUUGAGUGCAGAAGAGGAGAGUGGAAUUCCAUGUGUAGCGGUGAAAUGCGUAGAUAUAUGGAGGAACACCAGUGGCGAAGGCGGCUCUCUGGUCUGUAACUGACGCUGAGGCUCGAAAGCGUGGGGAGCAAACAGGAUUAGAUACCCUGGUAGUCCACGCCGUAAACGAUGAGUGCUAAGUGUUGGAGGGUUUCCGCCCUUCAGUGCUGCAGCUAACGCAUUAAGCACUCCGCCUGGGGAGUACGACCGCAAGGUUGAAACUCAAAGGAAUUGACGGGGGCCCGCACAAGCGGUGGAGCAUGUGGUUUAAUUCGAAGCAACGCGAAGAACCUUACCAGGUCUUGACAUCCUUUGACCACUCUAGAGAUAGAGCUUCCCCUUCGGGGGCAAAGUGACAGGUGGUGCAUGGUUGUCGUCAGCUCGUGUCGUGAGAUGUUGGGUUAAGUCCCGCAACGAGCGCAACCCUUAUUGUUAGUUGCCAUCAUUUAGUUGGGCACUCUAGCAAGACUGCCGGUGACAAACCGGAGGAAGGUGGGGAUGACGUCAAAUCAUCAUGCCCCUUAUGACCUGGGCUACACACGUGCUACAAUGGGAAGUACAACGAGUCGCGAAGUCGCGAGGCUAAGCUAAUCUCUUAAAGCUUCUCUCAGUUCGGAUUGUAGGCUGCAACUCGCCUACAUGAAGCCGGAAUCGCUAGUAAUCGCGGAUCAGCACGCCGCGGUGAAUACGUUCCCGGGCCUUGUACACACCGCCCGUCACACCACGAGAGUUUGUAACACCCGAAGUCGGUGAGGUAACCUUUUUGGAGCCAGCCGCCUAAGGUGGGAUAGAUGAUUGGGGUGAAGUCGUAACAAGGUAGCCGUAUCGGAAGGUGCGGCUGGAUCACCU
rnacentral:rRNA from 2 species